ensembl:lncRNA LINC00293 long intergenic non-protein coding RNA 293
AGACUCUGCCAAGAGAGAGGAUUACUACAUAUUGCAGAGCCCAGCACCUAGGUGGUAUUGCUCCAUAUGCCUGAGACCCUAACAAAAGCCUAAUUACAACUCAUAUGCCUGGAGCCAGGACAUGUGCAGGAUGGUGAUGUAACUUUCCUCUCUGGAAUGGGUCCUGCACAAAGGAAUGAUAGUAACAUAUUGCAAAGCCAGACACACAGACUCUGCCAAGAGAGGGGAUUAUUACAUAUUGCAGAGCCCAGCACCUAGGUGGAGUGACUCUCAUCUUUUUCUUCUACCCCGUAUAUAGCCAGCUUGGUGACCUACUAUUUGAGUCUAUACCCAGGCCCAGACCACAGAUGAAAUUGUGCAAUAUGUGGAACAAACACCUAAACAAUAUAUAACACCUUCCUUGGCUCUGUCUACAAAGGGCACUUUUAUAUAUCACUGGGACCAUCAACCAGGUGAUGUUGUGCCAUAUAACUGAGACCGUAUCAAAAGCCUAAUAACAAGACGUAUGUCUGGAGCCCCGAUAUGCACAGGAUGGUGAUAUAACCCUCUUCUCUGGAAUGGGCCCCACACAAAGGAAGGAUAGUGACAUAUUGCAAGCCCAGGCACACAGGCCCAGAGCACAGUUGAAAUUGUGACAUAUGUACACCAAGCAACCAAGCAAUGUAUAACACCUCAUUUGGCAAUGGAAUCGAGGGCACUUUUACAUAUCACUGAGACCAGCGCCCAGCUGAUGUGAAAUAUUGGCCUGAACCCUGCCUACAAAAGCAUUGUGGCUUUUAUCUAGCUCCAUUACAUAAGUGAUGUGACUUCCUUCUACUGCCUUGGCCCUGCACUUAUGGUGAAUCGUGACACAAAAUUGGGUAGAGCAACCAGCCUGGGCCCUGACCAGCACAGAGAUUGAGGCAUAUUGCUGAACCCAGGACCAAGAUGAAGUCACUCUCCUGCCUUGAUCCUGCACACAGGGACCCUUGUGACAUAUAUACAGGCCAAUUGCCUAGGUGAUGUUGUGCAAUAUACCUGAGACCA